ensembl:snoRNA Snord45c small nucleolar RNA SNORD45
GGUCAGUGAUGAGCUGGCAUGUAUUCUGAAUCUGAAGCUGAUUAUCAACCACUUUAGCUCUAGAAUUACUCUGAGACCUG